rnacentral:lncRNA from 1 species
GGUAUCUUUCCACUUUUAGAAAUCCCUGAUUUAACAUUCGUUGACAAACCAAGUCCAUUCGUUUACAAACCAGACGGAGCUGGCUCGUCUCGUCGUAGGACAGGAAGCUGAGGAUGCUCUCGAUGGCCACGAUGGGCAGCCCCAUCAGCGUGUUGCUCUGAGGCGGCUGCUCCAAGGGCGCCGGGGCCUCGGGAGACUGCGAGAGCGGGGGCGGGGAGAGCCGCGCCGAGCCCGGGGCGCCGCCUUCCCCCUCCGACAGGAGCCGCUCCUCCGCCGCCG